CACAGACUGAAUCCAGGUGAAAGCUAUGAUCCCUUAUUAAUGUCACUUGUUAAAUCCACUUCAAUCAGUGUAGAUGAAGGGGAGGAGACAGGUUAAAGAAGGAUUGUUAAGCCUUGAGGCAAUUGAGACAUGGAUUGUGUAUGUGUUCCGUUCAGAGGGUGAAUGGGCAAGACAACAUAUUUAAGUGUUGUUGAACGGGGUAUGGCAGUAGGUGCCAGGCGCACCGGUUCGUGUCAAGAACUGCAACGCUGCUGGGUUUUUCACGCUUAUGAACAGUUUCCUGUGUGUAUCUAGAAUGGUCCACCACCCAAAGGACAUCCAGCCAACUUGACACAACUGUGGGAAUGCAUUGGAGUCAACAUGGGCCAGCAUCCCUGUGGAACGCUUUCGACACGACGAAUUGGGACUGUUCUGACGGCAACUCGGUAUCAGGAAGAAUCGAGAAGCAGCUCGGUGCUUCCUUGGUGACAGAACGUCAGAUAGCAGACCUUUGGCAACAGUAUAACAAGAUGCUGCUCCUGUGGAGAAAAAUAUGAUAUGGGAGGGUAAAGUCUGGUUGUGUGUGUGUGUGUGUGUGUGUGUUUUGUGUUGUGUUGUGUUGCAGGUAAUGAUAAGUGUGGUGACGUGGACAGGUCAGUUCUGGAAGAAAGACUACGGUGGGAGCCAAGGAAGGAAGACGGGCUCCUGAGUCACGCAGCGGAUGAUGGCACUGCAUCACAAUGCAAGAGGUGUCACUAACAGUCCCUCGUUCAAAUCCAGGCUGAAUCACAUCCCGCCGUAAUUGGGAGUCCCAUAGGGUGGCUAACGAUUGGCCCUGCGUCGCCCGGGUAGACCGUCAUUGUAAAUAAUAAUUUGUUCUUAAAACUGACUUAGUUAAAUUUAUUUUUAAAAGUCUGGUAGUGGUCUUUAGAUAAACUUGUCAGAGAGUACACCCUAGUGGACAAAAGGCAGCACUGUUCCAAAAACGACUAAUUUACUAGUUGUCAUAUCGUAGAGUGCUCCAUAUUUUGUCCCUCCGUGUGAAUAGAACCAGA
rnacentral:lncRNA from 1 species